rnacentral:SRP_RNA from 14 species
GCUGGGCGUGGUGGUGGGCACCUGUAAUCCCGGCUACUCAGGAGGCUGUGGCAGAAGAAUUGCUUGAACCCGGGAGGCAGAG